ensembl:lncRNA
AUUGUGUAUGUGUGCCAUUUAGAAGGUGAAUGGACAAGACAAAAGAUUUAAGUGCCUUUGAACGGGUAUGGUAGAAGGUGUCAGGAGCACUGGUUAAUGUCAAGAACUGCAACGAUGCUGGGUUUUUCACGCUCAACAGUUUGUAUCAAGAAUAGUCCACCACCCAAAGGACAUCCAGUCAACCCUGACAACUGUGGGAAGCAUUGGAGUCAACAUUGACCAGCAUCCCUGUGGAACACCUUCGACACCUUAUAGUCCAUGCUCCAAUAAAUGGAGGCUCUUCUGAAGGCAAAAGAGCAUGGUGCAACUCAAUAUUAGGAAGGUGUUCUUAAUGUUUUGUACACUCAGUACUAGGGAUGGGGAAUAAAGAGAGGAUUUCUUGGUCAGUAUACAUUCACACAGUCUGAGCACCAACCCAGAAUAAAACACUCCACAUCCAGGUUUUACAUCUGCUAUUGUUUUAUAUGACUUACCUUUCUUAUGUCUUGUUGUGACUAACUUAUUGCGUUCAAGAAUGACUCAAGAAAUAUUUCCUUACAUUUUUACUUCUCUACAUUCCUUCUAAAAGAGUUGACCCAUCAGAGUCAAUUUGGGGAUAGAUUAAAUCAAAUAAAAUCAAAUAAAAUUGUAUUUGUCACAUCCGCCGAAUACAACAGAGACCUUACAGUGAAAUGGGCUCCCGAGUGGUACAGUGGUCUAAGGCACUGCAUUUCAGUGCUAGAGGCAUCACUGCAGACACCCUGGUUCAAAUCCUGGCUGUUUCACAACUGGCUGUGAUCAGGAGUCCCAUAGGGUGACGCACAGUUGGCCGGUAUAGGCCGUCAUUGUACAAUAAAAAAUCAUUUGUUCUUAACUGACUUCCUAGUUAAAUAAAAUACAAAUUUAAAAAAAAAAAAAUUUAAUGAAAAAAUAAAAUAAAAUAAGAAAUAAGAAUAAGAAAUAAGCGUAACAAAUAAUUAAAGAGGAGCAGUAAUAUAACAAUAGAGAGGCUAUAUACAGAGUGUACCGGUACAGAGGCAGUGGGCGGGGGUGUCACGACUUCCGCCGAAGUCGGCCACUCUCCUUGUUCAGGCGUCGUUCGGCGGUCGACGUCACCGGCUUUCUAGCCA